GACGAACGCUGGCGGCGUGCCUAAUACAUGCAAGUAGAACGAAGUGGGGACGGGUGAGUAACACGUGGGUAACCUCCCAUAAGAGGGGAUAACACUUGGAAACAGGUGCUAAACCGAUACUGAUGGAUGGACGCGCGGUGCAUUAGCUAGUUGGUGAGGUAACGGCUCACCAAGGCAACGAUGCAUAGCCGACCUGAGCGGGUGAUCGGCCACACCGGACCCGAGACACGGCCCCUACUCCUCCGGUGGGCAGCAGUAGUGAAGCUUCGGCAAUUGACGAAAGUCUGACCGAGCAAAGCCGCGGGAUUGAAGAAGGUUUUCGGUUCGUAAACCUCUGUUGUUAGAGAAGCGGUAUCUAACCAGAACGCCACGGCUAACUACGUGCCAGCAGCCGCGGUAAUAC
rnacentral:rRNA from 1 species